UUUGUUGUUUUUCUUUCCUAGGUAUUUUUAUGGCCUCUGUCACAGUAGCGUCUCAGCGUCUCGCAGGCAUUUAUGGAUUUAUUCUGAGAACGUUCCUGUGAGGAGUAAGUCUGUGUCUGUAACGCUGGAUGUUCUGACCACUUGCCUCAGACUGAAGAGGACUUGCUCUGCUUUGGAAUAUGGUGCCUAACUUCUGCGUCUCAGUACUCACUGUGCUAGCAGUCAUCCUGUGCUGCUUGAUGCUGCCUGAACCUGCUAAAGCAGGAGCUGAAA